GAUGAACGCUGGCGGCGUGCCUAAUACAUGCAAGUCGAGCGAACAGACGAGGAGCUUUCUCCUCUGACGUUAGCGGCGGACGGGUGAGUAACACGUGGAUAACCUACCUAUAAUUCUGGUAUAACUUCGGGAAACCGUAGCUAAUACCGGAUAAUAUAUUGAACCGCAUGGUUCAAUAGUGAAAUACGGUUUUGCUGUCUCUUCUAGAUGGUUCCGCGCCGCAUUAGCUAGUUGGUAAGGUAACGGCUUACCAAGGCAACGAUGCGUAGCCGACAUGAGAGGGUGAUCGGCCAAACGGGAAGUGAGACAGGGACCAGACUACGACGGGAGGCAGCAGAAGGGAAUAUGCCGCAAUGGGCGAAAGCAUGACGGAGCAACGGCGAGUGAGUGAUGAAGGUGUUCGGAUCGGAAAACUGUGUUAGUAGGGAAGAAAAAAAGUGUAAGUAACUAUGAACGUAUUGACGGUAACUAAUAAGAAAGCAACGGCUAACUACGUG
rnacentral:rRNA from 1 species